rnacentral:sRNA from 1 species
GCCCCCUCCCCUUGGAGGCCCUUCAGUAUGAGCUCUGCGGGCUCCUCCCAGCCACGGCCUACACCCUGCAGAUACGCUGCAUCCGCUGGCCCCUGCCUGGCCACUGGAGCGACUGGAGCCCCAGCCUGGAGCUGAGAACUACCGAAUGGGCCCCCACUGUCAGACUGGACACAUGGUGGCGGCAGAGGCAGCUGGACCCCAGGACAGUGCAGCUGUUCUGGAAGCCAGUGCCCCUGGAGGAAGACAGCGGACGGAUCCAAGGUUAUGUGGUUUCUUGGAGACCCUCAGGCCAGGCUGGGGCCAUCCUGCCCCUCUGCAACACCACAGAGCUCAGCUGCACCUUCCACCUGCCUUCAGAAGCCCAGGAGGUGGCCCUUGUGGCCUAUAACUCAGCCGGGACCUCUCGUCCCACCCCGGUGGUCUUCUCAGAAAGCAGAGGCCCAGCCCUGACAAGACUCCAUGCCAUGGCCCGAGACCCUCACAGCCUCUGGGUAGGCUGGGAGCCCCCCAGUCCAUGGCCUCAGGGCUAUGUGAUUGAGUGGGGCCUGGGCCCCCCCAGCGCGAGCAAUAGCAACAAGACCUGGAGGAUGGAACAGAAUGGGAGAGCCACGGGGUUUCUGCUGAAGGAGAACAUCAGGCCCUUUCAGCUCUAUGAGAUCACCGUGACUCCCUUGUACCAGGACACCAUGGGACCCUCCCAGCAUGUCUAUGCCUACUCCCAAGAAAUGGCUCCCUCCCAUGCCCCAGAGCUGCAUCUAAAGCACAUUGGCAAGACCUGGGCACAGCUGGAGUGGGUGCCUGAGCCCCCUGAGCUGGGGAAGAGCCCCCUUACCCACUACACCAUCUUCUGUACCAACGCUCAGAACCAGUCCUUCUGCCUAUGCUGACCGUACACCCCUCCCAGCCGCCAUCCUGAAUGCCUCCUCCCGUGGCUUUGUCCUCCAUGGCCUGGAGCCCGCCAGUCUGUAUCACAUCCACCUCAUGGCUGCCAGCCAGGCUGGGGCCACCAACAGUACAGUCCUCACCCUGAUGACCUUGACCCCAGAGGGGUCGGAGCUACACAUCAUCCUGGGCCUGUUCGGCCUCCUGCUGUUGCUCACCUGCCUCUGUGGAACUGCCUGGCUCUGCUGCAGCCCCAACAGGAAGAAUCCCCUCUGGCCAAGUGUCCCAGACCCAGCUCACAGCAGCCUGGGCUCCUGGGUGCCCACAGUCAUGGAGGAGGAUGCCUUCCAGCUGCCCGGCCUUGGCACGCCACCCAUCACCAAGCUCACAGUGCUGGAGGAGGAUGAGAAGAAGCCGGUGCCCUGGGAGUCCCAUAACAGCUCAGAGACCUGUGGCCUCCCUACUCUGGUCCAGACCUAUGUGCUCCAGGGGGACCCAAGAGCAGCUUCCACCCAGCCCCAAUCCCAGUCUGGCACCAGCGAUCAGGUCCUUUAUGGGCAGCUGCUGGGCAGCCCCACAAGCCCAGGGCCAGGGCACUAUCUCCGCUGUGACUCCACUCAGCCUCUCUUGGCGGGCCUCACCCCCAGCCCCAAGUCCUAUGAGAACCUCUGGUUCCAGGCCAGCCCCUUGGGGACCCUGGUAACCCCAGCCCCAAGCCAGGAGGACAACUGUGUCUUUGGGCCACUGCUCAACUUCCCCCUCCUGCAGGGGAUCCGGGUCCAUGGGAUGGAGGCGCUGGGGAGCUUCUAGGGCUUCCUGAGGUUCCCUUCUUGGGCCUGCCUCUUAAAGGCCUGAGCUAACUGGAGAAGAGGGGAGGGUCCAUAAGCCCAUGACUAAAAACUACCCCAGCCCAGACUCUCACCAUCUCCAGUCACCAGCAUCCCCCUCUCCUCCCAAUCUCCAUAGGCUGGGCCUCCCAGGCGAUCUGCAUACUUCAAGGACCAGAUCAUGCUCCAUCCAGCCCCACCCAACGGGCUUUUGUGCUUGUU